AUUGAACGCUGGCGGCAUGCUUUACACAUGCAAGUCGAACGGUAACAGGCCUUCGGGUGCUGACGAGUGGCGAACGGGUGCGUAAUGCAUCGGAACGUACCCAGAGGUGGGGGAUAACGCAGCGCAAGCUGUGCUAAUACCGCAUGUGAUCUGAGGAUGAAAGCGGGGGACCGAGCAGCAAUGUUUGGCCUCGCGCCUUUGGAGCGGCCGAUGUCGGAUUAGCUAGUUGGUGGGGUAAAGGCCUACCAAGGCGACGAUCCGUAGCUGGUCUGAGAGGACGACCAGCCACACUGGGACUGAGACACGGCCCAGACUCCUACGGGAGGCAGCAGUGGGGAAUUUUGGACAAUGGGCGCAAGCCUGAUCCAGCAAUGCCGCGUGCGGGAAGAAGGCCUUCGGGUUGUAAACCGCUUUUGGCAGGAACGAAACGGUGUCCGCUAAUACCGGGCGCUAAUGACGGUACCUGCAGAAUAAGCACCGGCUAACUACGUG
rnacentral:rRNA from 1 species